rnacentral:rRNA from 1 species
GAGCUUGCUCGGGUGGACAGUGGCAGACGGCUUAGUAACGCGUGGGUAUCUACCUAGAGGUUUGGAACAACUAUUGGAAACGAUAGCUAAUACCAAAUAUUCCCUUCGGGGGAAAGAUUUAUCGCCUUUAGAUGAGCCCGCGUCGGAUUAGCUUGUUGGUAGGGUAAAGGCCUACCAAGGCUACGAUCCGUAGCUGGUCUGAGAGGAUGAUCAGCAAGAUUGGGACUGAGACACGGCCCAGACUCCUACGGGAGGCAGCAGUGGGGAAUAUUGCGCAAUGGGGGAAACCCUGACGCAGCGAUGCCGCGUGAGUGAAGAAGGCCCUAGGGUUGUAAAACUCUUUCACCGGUGAAGAUAAUGACGGUAGCCGGAGAAGAAGCCCCGGCUAACUCCGUGCCAGCAGCCGCGGUAAUACGGAGGGGGCUAACGUUGUUCGGAAUUACUGGGCGUAAAGCGCGCGUAGGCGGAUUAGAUAGUUGAGGGU